AAGGCUAUACUUUCAGGGAUUGUUUCUAUAGUUUUUAACUAGAGAAGUGUGUUUCUUGAAAGUCUGGUCUCGUCAAUCACGAUGAAGAGUAUUUGUAUCCUUUUCUGAGCGCGAAAUGAGUACAGACUUGCAGUGCUGUCUGUGCGAUUGAUGACCGUUCCGAACCGUACCAGUACGUUCGGAGGAAAAGGGUACGAGCUGAGUGAU